AACGAACGCUGGCGGCAUGCCUAACACAUGCAAGUCGAACGAGACCUUCGGGUCUAGUGGCGCACGGGUGCGUAACGCGUGGGAACCUGCCCUUAGGUUCGGAAUAACUCCCCGAAAGGGGUGCUAAUACCGGUUAAUGUCUUCGGACCAAAGAUUUAUCGCCUUUGGAUGGGCCCGCGUUGGAUUAGCUAGUUGGUAGGGUAAAAGCCUACCAAGGCGACGAUCCAUAGCUGGUCUGAGAGGAUGAUCAGCCACACUGGGACUGAGACACGGCCCAGACUCCUACGGGAAGCAGCAGUGGGGAAUAUUGGACAAUGGGCGAAAGCCUGAUCCAGCAAUGCCGCGUGAGUGAUGAAGGCCUUAGGGUUGUAAAGCUCUUUUACCCGGGAUGAUAAUGACAGUACCGGGAGAAUAAGCUCCGGCUAACUCCGUG
rnacentral:rRNA from 1 species